CCAGGGCGACCACUUCCAAACUGUAAAUGGGUGCUGGAGUAGGGAAGUGCGGAUUGAAUCCCCCAGGCUCUGGAAACAGUGGAUUGCGAGGAAGAGAAAAGAAGGGAAGACAUUUUUCUGACUUAGAAAGUCUGCCAGUCUCCAGGGGAACGUCUCUACGCACAGUCCACAAUACAUUCCAGCUCCUUGGGGACAGAAGACCUACUAAUCGCUUGGAAUUUGGUUGCAAGAAUGUGAAUACAUUCCCUUAUUGGUUUAUUCUGUCUGUUAUUGAAUUACAUCAAUAUAAACACAGGAGUAAUUUUCA